AUUGAACGCUGGCGGCAGGCCUAACACAUGCAAGUCGAGCGGUAGCACAGGGAGCUUGCUCCUGGGUGACGAGCGGCGGACGGGUGAGUAAUGUCUGGGAAACUGCCUGAUGGAGGGGGAUAACUACUGGAAACGGUAGCUAAUACCGCAUAACGUCGCAAGACCAAAGAGGGGGACCUUCGGGCCUCUUGCCAUCAGAUGUGCCCAGAUGGGACUAGCUAGUAGGUGGGGUAACGGCUCACCUAGGCGACGAUCCCUAGCUGGUCUGAGAGGAUGACCAGCCACACUGGAACUGAGACACGGUCCAGACUCCUACGGGAGGCAGCAGUGGGGAAUAUUGCACAAUGGGCGCAAGCCUGAUGCAGCCAUGCCGCGUGUAUGAAGAAGGCCUUCGGGUUGUAAAGUACUUUCAGCGGGGAGGAAGGUGUUGAGGUUAAUAACCUCAGCAAUUGACGUUACCCGCAGAAGAAGCACCGGCUAACUCCGUGCCAGCCGCCGCAGUAA
rnacentral:rRNA from 1 species